rnacentral:rRNA from 1 species
GAGAACCUGCACACAGGUGCUGCAUGGCUGUGGUCAGCUCGUGUCGUGAGAUGUUGGGUUAAGUCCCGCAACGAGCGCAACCCUUGCCAUUAGUUGCUACGAAAGGGCACUCUAAUGGGACUGCCGGUGACAAACCGGAGGAAGGUGGGGAUGACGUCAAGUCCUCAUGGCCCUUAUAGGUGGGGCUACACUCGUCAUACAAUGGCUGGUACAGAGGGUUGCCAACCCGCGAGGGGGAGCUAAUCCCAUAAAGCCAGUCGUAGUCCGGAUCGCAGUCUGCAACUCGACUGCGUGAAGUCGGAAUCGCUAGUAAUCGCGGAUCAGAAUGUCGCGGUGAAUACGUUCCCGGGUCUUGUACACACCGCCCGUCACACCAUGGGAGCGGGUUCUGCCAGAAGUAGUUAGCC